GUAGGGAAUAUUGGGCAAUGGUCGGAAGACUGACCCAGCCAUGCCGCGUGCAGGAAGACGGCCCUCUGGGUUGUAAACUGCUUUUAUCUGGGAAGAAAAAGGCCAUGCGUGGCAAAUUGCCGGUACCAGAUGAAUAAGCACCGGCUAACUCCGUGCCAGCAGCCGCGGUAAUACGGAGGGUGCGAGCGUUGUCCGGAUUUAUUGGGUUUAAAGGGUGCGUAGGCGGCUGAUUAAGUCAGCGGUGAAAGACUUCGGCUUAACCGGAGCAGUGCCGUUGAUUCUGGUUGGCUUGAGUGUCGGAGGGGUACAUGGAAUUGAUGGUGUAGCGGUGAAAUGCAUAGAUACCAUCAGGAACACCGAUAGCGAAGGCAUUGUACUGGCCGACAACUGACGCUGAUGCACGAAAGUGUGGGGAUCGAACAGGAUUAGAUACCCUGGUAGUCC
rnacentral:rRNA from 1 species